CCUACGGGGGGCAGCAGUCGAGGAUCUUCGUCAAUGGGCGCAAUCCUGAACGAGCGACGCCGCGUGCGCGAUGAAGGCCUUCGGGUUGUAAAGCGCGAAAGUGGGGAUAAAGCCGAAAGGUUGAUAGAUCCACAGUAAGGACGGGCUAAGUUCGUGCCAGCAGCCGCGGUAAGACGAACUGUCCUAACGUUGUUCGGAAUCACUGGGCUUAAAGGGCGCGUAGGCGGUCCGACAAGUCAGGGGUGAAAUCCUGCAGCUUAACUGCAGAAGUGCCUUUGAUACUGUCGGUCUCGAGGGAGAUAGGGGUGUGCGGAACUUCCAGUGGAGCGGUGAAAUGCGUUGAUAUUGGAAGGAACGCCGGAGGCGAAAGCGGCGCACUGGAUCUCUUCUGACGCUGAGGCGCGAAAGCUAGGGGAGCAAACGGGAUUAGAUACCCCGGUAGUCGU
rnacentral:rRNA from 1 species